GGCAAGAGGCUGCCUGCUGGCUCGAGGAGAGUGGAAGGGUGGGCUGAGCUGUGGUUCUGAGCAGUCAGUCAGUUCUCUUUCCCCAACAGGUCUUUGUCCCAAACACAGGGCUAUGAGGUUAUUAGGAAGAAUGAAGGGUUUCUAUAAAAACCCCAAAGAAGGAUUUCAACAUAAAAGCAAAGAACAAAAAGGAUAGGAAGAGGCAGACGGGAAUCCUGACCUAUGUUUAGAGACAGGAGGAUGGGAAAAUGUGACACAGAAAAGGAAAGGAAGAAAGAUCACAUUCCACUUGGAACAAAGGCCAUCUGAGAUGCUCAUCCUCUAAAGAAUGAUUAUGUGGAGCCCUCAGGUGAGAGGUCUGCCAGUAAGGGUCAGAAGAUACACAGACAUGAAUCAUGUAACCAUGGAAAAAUAUUCUAAAUUAAUUAAUUAAAUAAAAAUUUUCAAUUUAAAAAAAGGAAGAUAAACAAGUGGAGAGGGGAGACUGGGGGCUUCCAGCUGGGGGGUGGGCAUAGGAUCAUAGAUUUGGAAAUGGAAAGUACCUUGGAAGCCCUUCAUUUUACAAAUGAGAAAACUAAGGCCAAGAGAGGGUAAGUAAUUUGUUCAGUCAGUCCUGUAGUAAGCAGCCAAAUAAUGACUCAAACCCAGAACUUUUGACUUGGCACCCAGUAAAUGCUCUGUUUGUUUCUUGUCUGCCUUGGUGCUUUUCCCAUACAGGAGCACCCACCGAGGGAGCCAUAUGAUUUGCUGAAAAUAAUAAGAGAUAAGUCUGCUUUCUUCCUGGGCCAUGUAUCCAUGGUGAUAGAGACUUUCCCAAGACCUGUCAAACUUCAUGACUCCCGUCUGAUUCUGGUGAUGGAUGGGAGCACCAUGAUCCUAGAAAGCAUUGCUAAGGACUUGGCCAAUAAACUGGGGACCUUGGUGACUCGAAUGAUGUUUCCUCACCUAUCCUAAUCAAAGGCCCAGACUUCAGAAGAAAAGGCAGAUGUAGGAAAUCAACAGGCAGUUAAGAAGAUGACAUCUACGAGGAAGAUUUAGAUGUCUGGACCAUAGCUUAGAAAUUAGAAAUAAGGAGCUCCUGGCUAGAAACAAUUGCUUUUAACCAGGCUUGGUUAGAGUGCCUUGCCUGUUGUCUUGCAAAUCUGAUCAAAAGGACUUUUAGAUGAAAAGGCAGGAGGAGGGAGAAUACUACCAAUAUGUAUUCACUCAGUCAGCCAGCAUAUAAUGAGGAAGAAAAGCAGUAGAGAUACCUAGAUAUUCCUAGGAGAUAACAUAUGGGAAAGAAGCUAGCAAUAAAAAGCAUAGCCUCAGAAAUCCAUUCUCAAAUAUACAAA